rnacentral:misc_RNA from 1 species
AAGUCGUAACAAGGUUUCCGUAGGUGAACCUGCGGAAGGAUCAUUAACAAAUCUUAAAAAAAGGGGGAAGAAAGAGAGGGGAAAAAAAGGGAAGUAUAUAAAAGGUAAAGAAGUAAGGGAAAGAGGUUAUUUAAGGGAAGGGGGAAAAGGGCCUUUUAAAAAGCUCUCUCUCUCUCUCUUUAAAAAACUUUUCUCUUAUGUAAAACUUUUUACUUUCUUCUCACCCCUCCUCUUUCUCUACCCACAUUGACUCGGGCUUGACUUUAAAAAGGUCAAGUCCUGAGACACAUUCACGCUUGCUUUGUUUGACUGAGUAAAUUUUGUGACUUAUAUUAAUGACAACUUUUAACAAUGGAUCUCUUGGCUCUU